rnacentral:lncRNA from 10 species
AAAAAAGGAAAACAACUCAGGCAAUGGGGGUGGCUUAAAGAACUUGGAAUAACUUGCAGUGUCUUGCAGUAUUGUGAAACCAGCAACUUGUUCACAAUUCUUCUGAAUUUCUUGGGAAAUUUGAAGUGGAGUACCUGUACCAACAUGAAAUGACACGAAUUUAAGUGACGCUCAACAACGAAAAGCAAAAAGAACCAAAGAGGAAGCAACUGAAACAACAUCUGGAUGUAUUUAAAAAUAUACAAUGCCUCCAAAAUCAGGUGUCAUUAAUGAAAAUUCUGAAGAAAUGCCACCGGACAUAGCCAACGCACCUACGCUGUUGUUAUUCAUUUCCUGCUUUUCACAGAAAACAAUUUUGUUGCAUGGAAGAUCGUGAACUUCAAAGGGCAGAGGGGAAACUGUCCCUUGGCCUCUACCCCUCCAAGGCCCCACUUUUUUGUCAACACUCCUUGGACGCAGCAGAAGUAUGAACAUAAUAUGGUCCUGAAUGAGGCUGAGUCUUUGGGCGCAGAAGACCCGGGUUAAUAAAAAUAGGAAGGUAAGAAAAGAAAAGAAAAAUCAAGACACAUCAUAGGACUAAAUUCCUAUUAUUUAUCCACUCAGGAUUGACCACCCCUUUGGGCCAGAUAGUUGUACCCCCAUGUACCAGGUGGGCACAUGAAGACACAAGAAGUGCUGUGAUGGUUCAUUUUGCACGUCACCUUGCGUGGAGUAUGCCAACUCAUUGUUUGGUCAAACACUAGUCUGGACAUGGUGGUAAAGGUAUUUUUUAGAUGAGAUUAACACUUAAAUCAGUAAAGCAGGUUACCCACCAUACUACGGGUGGGCCCUGUCCAAUCAGUUGAAGGCAUUAAGAACAAAGAUUGAGGUUUCCUAAAGAAGAUGGAAUUCUCCUUGAGACUACAACAUAGAAACCCUAUCUGAGUUUCCAGCCUGUUGCCCUGUGGAAUUCAAACUCAGGACUCCGGUCUAUGACAU